UGGCGCGCUGGAGAUGGCAUUCUCCCGAUGGCAUUCUCACUUAACCGCCCUCGAUGGCUGAUGAUGCCUGCUUCGCC
rnacentral:ncRNA from 2 species